AUGGCCGCGCCCCCAGCGAUCCCGCGCCGCGGCCUCUUCAUCGGCGGCGGGUGGCGCGAGCCCACCCUGGGCCGCCGCAUCCCCGUCAUCAACCCGGCCACCGAGGACACCAUCGGCGACAUCCCGGCAGCCACCGCGGAGGACGUCGAGCUCGCCGUCGCGGCGGCGCGGUCCGCGUUCCUGCUCGACGGCGGGAGCCGCUGGGCGCGCGCUUCCGGGGCGACGCGGGCCAAGUAUCUGAACGCGAUCGCCGCUAAGGUGCCAAUCUCUUGUGUUUCUCUGAAUCUGAGGCCUGAAGUUAGAUGUAUACAUGUUCACAGAAAAGUUAGACGCAUGCACGGAGUUGCCGAGGCACCAUUAUCUCAUCGCCGUAUUAAAGAAAAGAUAUCGUAUCUGGCAUGGCUGGAGACAGUUGAUUCUGGAAAGCCCAAGGAUGAAGCAGUUGCGGACAUGGACGAUGUCGCUGCAUGCUUUGAGUUCUAUGCUGGUCUGGCUGAAGCCUUAGAUGGUAAACAACAUGCGCCAAUCUCUCUGCCCAUGGAAGAAUUCAAGACCUAUGUUCUUAAAGAACCCAUCGGGGUUGUUGGACUCAUCACUCCCUGGAACUAUCCUCUGUUGAUGGCUACUUGGAAGGUUGCACCUGCCCUGGCUGCUGGGUGUACAGCUGUGUUAAAACCAUCUGAGCUGGCUUCUCUAACUUGCUUAGAGCUCGGCGCAAUAUGUGAAGAGAUAGGACUGCCUUCAGGAGUUCUGAACAUAAUUACUGGUCUGGGCCCUGAUGCUGGUGCUCCAAUAGCUUCACAUCCCCAUGUGGAUAAGAUUGCUUUUACAGGAAGUACCGCAACUGGUAAGACGAUAAUGACCGCUGCUGCCCAAAUGGUUAAGCCUGUUUCAUUAGAGCUUGGUGGCAAAAGUCCUCUUGUUAUCUUUGAUGAUGUUGCUGACAUUGACAAAGCUGUUGAAUGGGCCGUGUUUGGUUGUUUUUUCAAUAGUGGUCAAGUUUGCAGUGCAACUUCUCGUCUACUUCUCCAUGAGAAAAUUGCAGAGCGAUUUUUAGAUAGACUAGUUGAAUGGGCAAAGAACAUAAAAAUCUCAGACCCACUGGAAGAAGGUUGCAGGCUGGGUUCAGUCAUCAGUAAAGGGCAGUAUGAAAAGAUUAAGAAGUUCAUCUCGACAGCAAGAAGUGAAGGUGCUACAAUUUUGCAUGGUGGUGACCGACCAAAGCAUCUCGGAAAAGGGUUCUUUAUUGAACCUACAAUUAUAACAGACGUUAGCACAUCAAUGCAAAUUUGGAGAGAGGAAGUCUUUGGACCAGUCAUCUGUGUCAAAGUAUUCAAGACAGAGAGUGAAGCUGUAGAGCUUGCAAAUGAUACCCACUAUGGCUUGGCUGGUGGUGUGAUCUCUGAUGAUCUACAGAGGUGUGAGCGCAUUGCAAAGGUUAUUCACUCAGGCAUUGUUUGGAUAAACUGCUCGCAACCGACCCUGGUUCAAGCUCCGUGGGGAGGGAACAAGCGGAGCGGUUUUGGCCGGGAGCUAGGAGAAUGGGGCCUCGAGAACUACUUGAGCGUGAAGCAAGUCACCAGGUACUGCAAAGAUGAGCUAUACGGAUGGUACCAGCGCCCAUCCAAGCUGUAG
rnacentral:rRNA from 1 species